rnacentral:tRNA from 1 species
GGCCUUGUAGCCUAACGGAUAAGGCGACGGACCUCGGAUCCGAAGACUGCAGGUUCAAGUCCUGAUAGGGUCG